rnacentral:rRNA from 1 species
UGGGGAAUAUUGCACAAUGGGCGCAAGCCUGAUGCAGCCAUGCCGCGUGUAUGAAGAAGGCCUUCGGGUUGUAAAGUACUUUCAGCGGGGAGGAAGGUGUUGAGGCUAAUAACCUCAGCAAUUGACGUUACCCGCAGAAGAAGCACCGGCUAACUCCGUGCCAGCAGCCGCGGUAAUACGGAGGGUACAAGCGUUAAUCGGAAUUACUGGGCGUAAAGCGCACGCAGGCGGUGUGUCAAGUCGGAUGUGAAAUCCCCGGGCUCAACCUGGGAACUGCAUUCGAAACUGGCAGGCUAGAGUCUUGUAGAGGGGGGUAGAAUUCCAGGUGUAGCGGUGAAAUGCGUAGAGAUCUGGAGGAAUACCGGUGGCGAAGGCGGCCCCCUGGACAAAGACUGACGCUCAGGUGCGAAAGCGUGGGGAGCAAACA